UAGCUAAGCUAUAGUCACUUACUGCAUAUAUGUAUCCUCAUUUUGUUAUAAAUACUACUAGUUCAUUAUUGCCAUCUUCCUUAAACCUUUAAGCAUUCCAUCGAUCGAUCUAUCCGUCCAGGAAAAGGCUAUAUUUUGCGCUUAAGGCUAGAAAAUGGCAAAGAUAAACCUUUCUGUGGCCAUUAUUAAAUACAUGGCGGUGGCCCUUCUCAUGGCUAUCAUGGUGCUUGCCUCUUCUGAGGUGGCUGCAGCGCUUGCGCAACCACUGCUUGGACGACGACUACUUGGACGAGGAGGAUACAACGAAGUCGAACCAGAUGGCCGCUCGGGGUACAACCAAGUUAACCCCUAAUAAACAAAUUAAAUAUGGGCAUCUAUAAAUAAAUACAUAGUUACUAAAUAAACACCAAGGGCUGCAUGCAUUUUGGUGCGAUUAAUUAAAGUCUAAAUUUGUAAGUAUGAUGGUUAUUGUGGUCCGCUGUGCUGUGGCAUGGCGCUUGGUUAUGUUUGCUGUGUAAACUUGUGUUGUUUCUUGUCUUUUAUGACAAUCAUGCUAUAUAUAUACAUACUGUUGAAUAAAGGAAGGUCUGUUUGUGCUC